AUUUUUGGCAAAAAAAGAGCCCUAAUCGAGACUCCAGCCUUGAUUUCUCCAAUCAUGGGGAAAAUCCAAUUCACAUACAAUAGUAAAAACUGAAGAUUACAUCAACAUGUUUUCACACCCCAAGAUUAAAAAAAAAACCAAAAAAGUUAACAAAAAUUAUCAGCAAAUAGAUCAAAAAACUUGAAAAUUCCUAUUAUUUCUACUAAUUUAACAAAAAAAAAAGAAAUCAAAAUUGGAGAAGAGUUACCUGAGGGAGGACUGCCGAUUGUUUCACUUCUCAAGUUUCCAUGUCAAUCGAAAGCCUUGUUAAGGGUUGGAGUUAGAAAAAUGAAUCUUAAUUGAAGGCCUUGUUAGGGUUUAUCAAAGGGAGAUAGAGUUGGUGAUAACAGAAGCAUGAAAAAGAGGGAGACAAGUUUGGAAUAAAAUAGGAAGAAGAAUGAAAAAAGAAGAGAUUGCUUCAGACGUGAGAAAGAGAAGGGUAAAGUUGAAAGUCUCAACAUAAUUUUUUACCCAGCCAUUCGUUGAAUCCCUAUUCUGUGGGGAGGGUGCCGAAUUGUAAAUGGCACUUUUGCGUUGAAUAAGGCCGUAUUGAAUGAGGCUGUAAUAACCCAUUACACCCAACCAAACAAAGUUUUAAUGGGGGGCUCACUGAAUUCAGCUAUAAUGGCUUAGCAUUACAGCCAACCAAACAUGAUGU
rnacentral:lncRNA from 1 species